GAUACCAAAUCUGUGACGCCCCCAGAUCCGCAUCCCGCAGAUCUGGUCCGCCACUAAACAUCUGGCUCAAAACAACACUUGAAUUACAUAUUAAUAUUACAUAAUCCAACUCUUGCCCACAAGUCCAGGGUCGCUUGUCUUACAACAUUUCUUUCUCAGAUACUAUAUGCCCUAAAACUGUACUUGCUCUAUCAAAAUUCAUCUUUCGGAAAACAAAUUUAUAUAUAACUUCUCUUUCCUCAAAAUAUCCAAGUUAUCCUAAUAUGCUCAACAUGCUCUUCUUUCGUCUUAGAAUAAAUCAGAAUAUCUUUGAUAAAUAAUAAUAAACUUAUCCAAAUAUUUCUUAAAUACUCUAUUCAUAACAUCCAUCAAUGUGUAGGUGCAUUAGUCAAUCCAAAAGGCAUCAUGUCCGUACUGGGUCUUAAAGACCGUCUUAGGUACAUUCUCAGACCUGAUUCUUUAACUGAAGAUAUCCAGAUCUCAAGUCUAUCUUAAAAAAUAAGAUGCUCUCUUCAACUGAUUAAACAAAUCAUCAACCUUAGAUAAAUGGUCAUCUUCUUUAACUUUCGAUAAUCAAUGUAACAAUCUUCAAAUUCGAGGGCCUGGAUUUGAUGUCUCCAUACAAGACCUUCUUGAAACACCUUUAAAAGAAAACUGUAUUUUUUUGAAAAGAACAAUAUCAAAGAAAUUGAAAUCUGAGUAUUUUGAAGAGAACUCAAAGAAAAUAAGAAUUUUAAAACUUUCUUGGAUAUAUAGAAGUCUUUCACGAUAGUAAUUAUCGGUCAAUGAGUUUUCAAAAUAGCUUUCAUUCGAAAUGAAAGGAUGAUUGGGAGACCAAUAUGAUCAAAUGAACUAAGUGUUGCGUGUCCAAAUUAAGACACUACUAAAGGUUGUUAACCUUCUUGUAAUGACAACACACACAAGUGAUGGCGUCCCAUCCAACUCCUAUCACACAGACAGGUAUACCUUGUGUCCCCUAUAAUUAGGGUUGUUCAUCCCAAUCAGAUUGAAGAAAUAUUAAGGAAAUAAGAUUUAUCUCAAAGAUUUGCUUUUGGAUUGUAAUCUCACAACUUGGACAAACUUGAUCUACCAUAAUUACUUCUCAACACAUGUCUUCCAAAGAAUGCGAGCAAUGCAUCCUUUAUCACAAAUCAAGGAUUUUCAGUGGAUAAAUUCAGAAAUGGAAUCAAAUAUGGAACGAUCUCUUAGAAUUAUUAGAUUGAGAUCAUUAUUGUUGUAUAUAUUUAUUCCAAUUCUUGAAUGUUAAAUAAUGAAUCACAAAAGAUUUUAUAACAUCAAAGAAAUAUUGAUUAUUGGGAGCAGUCACUUCCGAACAAAGGAAGGAUUUAAGAUACAGAAUAAACUUCACAGUUUUCAAAAUGAGAUUUGAUGUCAACUUAAGCUGAAAUAGUGUGAAACGUAAUAUUAUUCAUAAAUAGCGUAUUCUACAAAUCUUCUACUCAGGCAACGGGGAUCUCCCUUGUAACGCGUUCACGGUUUGCGAAGUUCUAAACCUUUGAUUUCCUUAUAUUUCACCUAUAUUCUCUGCUCGCGGCAUCUCUUAUUUCACCAAAGGUUUCUUCACACCAUGAGUCCAACGUUUCUUUUCUAUAUUUUGAUUGUUUUGCAGGGGUUUCCGUUUCCUAUCGACAAUCUCUCUAUUAAACAACUCAUUGCUUGCCUCAACUAUACAAAUUGUGUGCACUUACGUCGCAUAGCUAGCCAUCUUGAGAACAGUAACCCUACUCUGAAUCCAGGGCUUUAAGCCCGGCUGUAAACGUUUAGCUUUCUUUUCGUCCGUAUUUACUCGAUGUGGAAUAAAUUUCGAGAGUUCGAUAAACUUAGCUUCAUGUUCAGCUAUUAACAUACUCUCUUGCUUAGGUUUUAGAAAUUUGAGCUCUAUAUGAUUCUCUAGGUGUUUAGGAACAUACUUCUCUAGGAAUAACUUUGUAAACCUAGUCCAUGAUAUCACACUAGACUCUUCUAGAACUGGCUUAGCUUCCCACCAAUAAUUAGCCUCUUCAUUAAGUAGCAAAGAAAAUUUUCUUAUCAUCUUCUACACCAACUAUUUCAAAAAUCUUUUCUAUUUCUCUUAGCCAAAUCUUGGCUUCAACGGGAUCUAUAAUCCCUUUUAAACUCUUGGGGUUUCAAAAUAUGAAAGAUUUGAUUGGAAAGGUAAGUUUGAUAAGUUGACUCGAAGAACUUCUCUCAUGAUUGCUUUCAAAAUUCUGGGUAUAUAUGUGUUGUUGAAAAAGAUCAACAAGUAAUUGAACAUGAUUUGUUCUGGGUUGAAAUCCAGGUGGAGCAUCUGGUAUUGAUUCAUCAACAGAAUUGUCAUUCAGGUUUGAAUCCGUCUCAAUAUAUAAGAGUAUACGAAACAGUCUAAUAGGUCUCAUCAUUAUACAAAAUACAAGGUUUAUCCAAAGAUACAACAAGGCGCAAUUUUGUAAAAUACACAGUGUAUAACUUUUGAAAACAGGUUCCACAUUUUGGUUGAAAAUACAAGUUGUACCAAAGUUGCAUAUUUUUGAAAACUUUUAGAAACUUUAAAGGUUGCACCUUUUCUUUUGAAAACUCUAAAACCUUAGAAACUUGAACAUUUCUCUUUUUGAAAACCUCAAAAGAAAACUUUAAAAAGGUUGAAUAAAUACACACAUUAAAAUUUCACAUUGGAUCAUUGAUGUAGCAAAUGCAAGAUAAUUGACAGAUUUGAAACAGAUCAAAAGUAGUUGACGACUGCAAGAAGCAUAGGGAAGGUAUACAAAGAAAGAGACAUAAAGAUUUAGCAUCCCUCCAAAAGUGGUCAUAAUAUCAAAAGUUUUUAUGAGUCACGAUAUAGAAAGUACAUCUGAUCUGGUCAUCAUCCUACCACAUCAAGUCUAAUCUGGACAUCACUAUACAAAAGAUCGUCUAUUCACAUCUUUACUGCCAGAAUGAUCUACUGAUCGAAACUAUAGUAUCUACAUCUAAAUAAAAAGAAGCGUACGAUCCUCUAUUCCGAUACUAUACAGUGUCUCUAUAUAUCCUCUAGAUACAUCAUAUACUAUAACUGAGAUACACACAGACUAUAUGUGCGUAAACUCCCAAAAAUCAAACUAUAUAACAAAUUUAACAACCAAAUAUCUGUGAGACCCUAUACUGGAAUUCAGAAAAGGCUUAUUUUGUAACAAGUGUAACAUUUACAUAUCAUGAGCUGGUGGAGGGUAUUUCACUGAUAUCAGUACGAAAUCCCUCUUAAUAUAGAAAUAGAAAUCUUAUACACAAUCUCCAUACUAAACACUUGGGUCAGAAAUCCUGAACCCGCAGAAUAAACAUAGGAUCGUAAGAUCCUGGAAUCCCAAAUCUAGAGUCAUAAGCAGACUCUAUCAACAGCUGGUACUGAUGGACCAAAGAAAGUGGCACAUAGUUUCCACCUGAUGGUACAGAAACUGGUGCGUAGAAAGAUCCACUAAUCUGACAAAGAGCGGUAUGAGGUGCAGAAACUGAAAUAGUGGAUAUGAAAGUAAAUGGUACACAAGUCUCUAACAUGGUGGUAACUAGGGGUGUAGGUUGAACUCGAGGUUUAAGUGUGGUAUAAUCAUGGGUGUAACUACUGAAAGGUGGUAUAGGAGCAUUUCCAAUCAGAGAUGACACAGCAGUCCCAAAAUGACAACAAUCAAAAGUAUGUGUGGUGAUAGGACUAUAAGAAAGAGGUGUAGGCUCAAAAUGUUGAAGCAAACCAAAAAUGGAAGGGUCCUCACUCUUAAAAAUAGGUGGAGGAACAGUAGAAUUGUUAAUCGAAAAAGAAGUGGUCAAAGUAGGAACAUAAGUUAGCUCAGGUAAGGAUAGAAAGAUAUUCAUCCAAGCACUCGUAAUACACUCAAAAGAUUCUUUAUCCUUGAUAUCUUCGGAUACUAAGUUAAUGAUCUCAGGUACUGGUGGCUCUAAUAUUUGUCUCAAAACAAAUCCUCAUACUCGUUAUUAUCAUCUCAAUCUCUGUAGAUGGAUCAGAAUCAGCCUCGUAAUCUGACAUCUACAACAAAUAUCAUUACUAAUAGUUACUGCUACGGGCACGAUUGCCUGUAACUAUAAAUGUUCAUAUCUGUAGGGUCUACUAACCCUUUUCUAAAAGUUUACUUGGUACGUAUGUACUAUAAUAUAUGGAGAUAGGUUUAACUAGGCACCUAUCUUAAACUUCAUAUCGUUCUCGCCCGUUAUAUUCCUAGGGUUUCUCGAAUCCUAAGGAUAUAACUAUAGCUCUGAUACCAAACUUGUGACGCCCCCAGAUCCGCAUCCCGCAGAUCUGGUCCGUCACUAAACAUCCGGCUCAAAACAACACUUGUAUUACAUAUUAAUAUAAUACAACCAACUCUUGCCCCACAAGUCCAGGGUCGAUCGUCUUACAACAUUACUACCGAGUCUAACUUUAUUACAUAAAGGGAAGUCUGAUAUCAGACUAUUAUAAUAACUAUAGAUCGUACUACCAAGCGGCGUAGUCUAGCAGUCUCAGCUUGGGUGAUGCGCCUUUUCCCUGCUUUUGUCAAAAACCCAUUUCCAGGCGGUUCCCUUGAGUUGUGCCAUACUCACUAUUUACUG
rnacentral:lncRNA from 1 species